UUUCAAGACUAAACACCAUUUGCCCUGAGCUUGCUAAAGCCCCGUCGCCGCGAAGAACUUCUGGAGCUCUGCAACAAUGGCGGCUUCUAAACCCAACAUGGACGACAUCGAUACUCCCAAAGCCAACAUAGUUACCUUUCCCUUCUUCAACCCCAUCUUCAGGGUUCAACGAUGUCGAUUUUCGCAAACAAGGCCCUCUCAAGCCAAUCAAACACCCAAAAAAAACCUAAACGAACUCCAGAGCAAGAACCCACCAAAACCUAGAAUCCAGAAGCUCUCAAUCCCAAAAGUAAGGAACGGCCGAUAAGGUUUCGGCAUUUUCAGUCAUGGUGGGAGAUAAUCCAUUUACCAAUUUGAGAUCACUUGAUUCAUUGUUAGCUUGACAUGAACAACCAUUUAAUUGGACCAGAAAUACAUUAGCUGAAGAGGAUGUGCCCCCAAAAGAUCUUGUGUUCCACAGGUUUUAUACAUGAACUCCUCAAAGAAAACGAAGAAGAAAAAGAGGAGGCUGUUGAUGAUUUGGUCGGUGAGGCUGACGACAACGACAAUGCUGCCGAAGAUCUGUUCGACAUUGACAUGGUUGGUGGGGAUGAGACUGAAAAUGAAGAAAUCGAGACGGUGACUACGACUACAAUGACUUGGAUCGAGUUGCCAAUGAAGACAACAAAGACUUGGUUCAUAAUAUCAGUGAUUAGCAGUGACGACAACAUAGGACAAAGAGCGGAAAACAAAAGCACCAUCAUUUGCAAGCCUCGAAGAUUACGAGCACGGUGUUCAUAAAAACAAGUCUACUAAAGAGAAGACGAAGUCGAAGCCAAACUCGAGGGCAAGGAAGAGGAGGAGAGAUUGGGUUCGGUUGGUAAACAAAAAAACGACAGAAACGAGCAUUGUUUACAUUCAUUUCGGCUCGAAUCGACACAAGAAUCAACAACAACACCAUGUGGGGGUGUUGGCUUCCAACAUCAGGUUCUCUAAACAAUUCUCUUUCAAAAUUAUAUUUAAUCCACUUUGUCUCAACUUGUGUGCACAUCCUAAAGAUCAUGGUGAAGUUUUUGUUUGUUUCUAUCAUAUUCAUGAACCCCAUAUUACUGAUUGAUCAAUCUACAAGAUUCUGAGCUGCAA